ACCGCCUCUCUGACCACUGUUCAAGCUUCUGAAUCCUCCCCUUAUCUCACAGCCCAGUGAGUGCAGGGGAUUUGGAAAUGAGAUGAAAUUACUCAAUUUGCCAGUAGGAGUCUGUGUGACUUUUAAGUUUGGACAUUGCAAGCACUUGGUCACUCUCAGAUCCUAGCCAUGGGACUCUUUCUGGUCCUCACAGUUUACUUAUCCCAGGCAGAUUCUACUGACACUUAUGAGAGCUUUUCCUCCAAGAACCACAGCUUCUAUCAGAACUUUUUUUUAAUUAGAACUUUUAUGUUGCUAAGUGUGAGCAGUGCUCUCACCCCUUACAAACUAUGCACUUGUGUUCUAUGAGGCCUACCAAGAGAAAUUCCAGAAAGGGGCUUGUCUGACAACUGCAUUUUUUGGACAUGAUACCAGCUUAGUAGUCAUGAACUGGAAUAUUAGAAAUUCUUGCUCUUGAUUCUGAAAGAAACCUUACUCAUCCGGUCUCUCUUGCUCUGUCUGCUUUGUUCGCCCAAUUCCAACAGAUACUAUCUUCCUUAAAACCCAGAGUUACACAGCAUCCUUGCUCAUCCAUUUUACUGUUCGAGAACUUUUGCUCUGAUGAAAUUCUCGUGUCAAACCUAAAUCCUUUAUGUUGUUUGCAUAACUUAAAUUUGCCGGUUCAGUCUAUAGACAAGACAUUAAUUUCAAACUGGAUUUGACUCCUGGUUAGAGUGUAUCACUCAGCCUAGCAUCCUAAGAACAUGCAUAGCUCUGGUCUUUGGGGGCUGUGUCCCUUAACCAGCUGUGUGACCUUGGCCAAGACAAGCUUCCUGAGCUUAAUUUCCUCCCAUAAGAUAGGUUCAGGUGCACAAUUCUUGGUGUUUUAUUAGAAUAGCCACCCAAAGGCAGU